AAAGUGAAAGUGAUAUCAGAUGGCGGCUCAACGUGUGUGAAAGGGUUCUUCUGUUUGGCUCAGAAGGCUCUGGUGGAUGCCAAUGUAUCAUCAACCAAUAAUGUACCAGAUGCAGAAAGGCUCAUCCGUCAGUUGAAAAAAUUAAACGAAAAGAGUGGUAAUACCAAUUGUACCCUGAACACAACCGACAAAUAUCCCCUAAGCGAUCUUCUCAUAGACAUCAGCGAAUGUACACAGCUGUGCAAGGAACACCUCAUCCAAUGUUUGAAUAAUUCGGAGUGAUCAUAUGUAUUAUUUAACAGAUGUAAUCUACAUAACUUAUUUCUAUUUAUUGCAAAUGUAAUAUUUAUUUUCCUACAUAUCUUAUUUUUGUAGUGUUUUUAUUUAUACAUCAAUAAAUUAUACUGGCCCAUUGGUUUGUCGUUUGAGUCCGUCUUGUUCACAGCAUGCCUGCUAUGUUGUAGGUAUCAGCGAUCUAUCCUCAUCAUUCAAGUCCAACGGUCUAGUCAACCACACUUUUCACACUGAACAAUUUUUUAACAUGACUA